GAUGAACGCUGGCGGCGUGCCUAAUACAUGCAAGUCGAGCGAAUGGAUUAAGAGCUUGCUCUUAUGAAGUUAGCGGCGGACGGGUGAGUAACACGUGGGUAACCUGCCCAUAAGACUGGGAUAACUCCGGGAAACCGGGGCUAAUACCGGAUAACAUUUUGAACCGCAUGGUUCGAAAUUGAAGGGCGGCUUCGGCUGUCACUUAUGGAUGGACCCGCGUCGCAUUAGCUAGUUGGUGAGGUAACGGCUCACCAAGGCAACGAUGCGGAGCCGACCGGGGGGGGUGACCGGCCACACUGGGACGGAGAAACGGCCCGGACUCCUACGGGGGGCAGCAGUAGGGAAUCUUCCGCAAUGGACGAAAGUCUGACGGAGCAACGCCGCGUGAGUGAUGAAGGCUUUCGGGUCGUAAAACUCUGUUGUUAGGGAAGAACAAGUGCUAGUUGAAUAAGCUGGCACCUUGACGGUACCUAACCAGAAAGCCACGGCUAACUACGUGCCAGCCGCCGCCGUAA
rnacentral:rRNA from 1 species